rnacentral:rRNA from 1 species
UACGUAGGGUGCGAGCGUUGUCCGGAAUUACUGGGCGUAAAGAGCUCGUAGGUGGUUUGUCGCGUUGUUCGUGAAAACUCACAACUCAAUUGUGGGCGUGCGGGCGAUACGGGCAGACUGGAGUACUGCAGGGGAGACUGGAAUUCCUGGUGUAGCGGUGGAAUGCGCAGAUAUCAGGAGGAACACCGGUGGCGAAGGCGCACAUCUGGCCCGAUACUGACGCUGAGGCGCGAAAGCUAGGGGAGCAAACGGG